rnacentral:lncRNA from 1 species
GCAAACGCCGCGAGCGUGUGGCUUCCGCGUGUUCCCCGCGGGGAGGCGCUCGCCCGCUUCCUCCUGCGGCCGCCGGCCCUGGGGCUCGCCCUGCGGCGGGGUGCUGUGGCCGGCGCGCCCGGCGGGAGUCUGGGAAGGUCUGCAGGCUGCGGCGGAAAGAACAGGUGACGUUACUUCUACUGACGCGUUUCACUUUUAAGCCACAGUAUCCGCAACACUGUCGUUUCAGCACAGCGAUGGAUGUAAGGAACGCACGGAAUCCCCGUUCUUCCCGCCAUGUUUGGGAACCUUGUCUGCCGCUUGCCAGGCCUAUGUGGGCACGGGCGCGGCUCCAGGGCCAGCACCCGCACGUAGGGUGGUGACAGGGUCAGCGGCCCGUGAGGGGCAGUGACGGGGUCCAGAGUCAGCGCCACGUGAGGGCCAGUGACGGCGUCCAGGAUCUGCGGCCACGUGAGGGGCAGUGACGGCGUCCAGGGUCAGAGCCACGUGUGGGGCAGUGACGGGGUCCAGGGUCAGCGGCCUGUGAGGGGCAGUGACGGGGUCCAGGGUCAGCGGCCCGUGAGGGGCAGUGACGGGGUCCAGGGUCAGAGCCACGUGAAGGGCAGUGAUGGGGUCAGGGGUCAGCAGCCCCGUGAGGGGCAGUGACGGGUUCAAGGGUCAGCGGCCCCGUGAGGAGCAGUGACAGGGUCUCCAGGGUCAGCGGCCACUGAGUGGCAGUGACGGGGUCUCCUGGGUCAGCGGCCCUGUGAAGGGCAGUGACAGGGUCCAGGGUCAGCGGCCACAUGAGCAGUAGUGACAGCGUCCAGGGUCAGCGCCGCGUGAGGGGCAGUGACGGGGUCCAGGAUCUGCAGCCACACGUGGAGGUAGUGAUAGGGUCCAGGGUCAGCGGCCACAUGUACCGUGGCUCCGGUCAGGGUGGCCACACACCUGGGGCCAGGCCUGGCGGUCUGGAAGGGCAUCGUGUCCUGCAGGCUUAGUGCUCGCUGGCCUGGGAGGAGGAAUAAAGGAAUAUGUGGGAAUGGGGUGGUAUGGGACCCCAAGCUGUUAAGAAGCUUGGACCUCAUGUUUUGUGAAGGGGUAGGGGUCUGGGAGACAUGACAGAGAUGCCGUUCAACAAAACCUUUAUUGAAGUAUUACUUAGUGUGUAUACCAGGAAGAGGAGCAUAGCUUAAGUGUUUAGCUCUGUGAAUUUUCACACACUCAAUAUAUAGCCAUGGACCCCGCACCCCAUCAGGACCUCAAAUGAUUUAUUUUUUUUUAAACUUUAAAAAAUUUUGGGAUCCCUGGGUGGCGCAGCGGUUUGGCGCCUGCCUUUGGCCCAGGGCGCGAUCCUGGAGACCCGGGAUCGAGUCCCACAUCGGGCUCCUGGUGCAUGGAGCCUGCUUCUCCCUCUGCCUGUGUCUCUGCCUCUCUCUCUCUGUGUGACUAUCAUAAAAAAAAAAAAAAAAAAAAAAAAAAAACAACUUUAAAAAAUUUUGUGGAAACAGGUGUAAAAGGACGUACUGUGUAUCCUUCACCUGGCCUGCACCAGGGUUAACAUCUUGCACACCUGGAGUACAACUGCAGAACCAGGUAAUCGGGACCAGUGUAGUACACCAGGCUUAUUCACAUUUUACCAGUUUUAUGUGUUCUGGUUACAUAUGUGUGUUUAUGUAACAUUUUGCACCAGCAAUGUAUGAAUUGCUCUGCAUCCUCACCUUCAGUCCAUAUCAUCAGAAUAUAACUAUCAGGACACCUGGGUGGCUCAGAGGUUGAGCGUCUGCCUUCGGCUCAGGACGUGAUCCUGGGAUCUGGGAUGGAGUCCCUCGUUGGGCUCCCUGUGAGGAGCCUGCUUCUCUGCCUCUCUCUGUGUCUCUCUCA